rnacentral:rRNA from 1 species
UACGAAGGGGGCUAGCGUUGCUCGGAAUGACUGGGCGUAAAGGGCGCGUAGGCGGCUCAUACAGUCAGGCGUGAAAUUCCUGGGCUCAACCUGGGGACUGCGCUUGAGACGUGUGGGCUUGAGUGGGGAAGAGGGUCGUGGAAUUCCCAGUGUAGAGGUGAAAUUCGUAGAUAUUGGGAAGAACACCGGUGGCGAAGGCGGCGACCUGGUCCUUGACUGACG